UUCUGUGGCAGUAGCAGUUUGUGCUCAAUUCAUCUGAGGCUGUGGAAGCAAAUGCUCCUUCUUCAGGGCUCACUCAUCACUUCUGUGAGACACGACUUGCUCAGAAAGGCAGGAGAUGGGGCAGGGUGCUUCACCACAGAAACAGGAAGUGAAACCAAGAUGUCUCUUUUCUCCUCAAACAACCCUGGCACAGGGUGCUUGCGUGCUGAGAACUAUCUGGAAGGCAUGUGGAGAAUAAAUACUUAAGACACAGAGGCCAAAACAAAGCAAGAAAGAAUGCACAAGUCCUCUGAAGGCUGCAGAGUUCUUAGGACUAAUGCUAAAACCUUAGAAGUUUAAACAUUAAAAUGUCGUUGAAGAACCCGAAGAAAAAUGUUCUUUCCCCUUGUGCCACAUUCGCUUUUGGGGGCUGUAAGUGUGUAUGUGUGUGUGGAGGCAUGUGUGCAUGUGUGUUCAGGUGUUCACGUGUGUCUA